UACAGAGGGGGCGAGCGUUAUUCGGAAUUAUUGGGCGUAAAGGGCGCGUAGGCGGCCUUUCAAGUGACGGGUGAAAUCCCUCGGCUUAACCGAGGAACUGCCUGUCAGACUGGAAGGCUUGAGACCGGGAGAGGUGAGUGGAAUUCCCAGUGUAGCGGUGAAAUGCGUAGAUAUUGGGAGGAACACCAGUGGCGAAGGCGGCUCACUGGACCGGAACUGACGCUGAGGCGCGAAAGCGUGGGGAGCAAACAGG
rnacentral:rRNA from 1 species